UAUGCUCUCAUAAAUCAUUAAUCACAUAUAUAAUACACUAUACUGUAAUACAUAGUAAUUUAUACCUAAUCAUGGCUAUUAUACUGUAAAAAAAAAUGCUGUAAAAAAAAAAAAAACAGUUAAAUUCAGGAAGUAAAAUAUGUUUUUCAUAAUAAACUAUAUAUUCUGGGCAGUGUUUAGUGAUCAGUAUGACCACUAAGUUGCACAUAUAUUUGGAUAAAGAAAAUAAUGCUUUUGUUUAUUUGAAUGAAACCAUGGCCUCUAUGGAUUCAUAAAAUGCAGGCUGGUAGCUACCAUCACUUGAAAGUCAAAAAAAGCAUAUACAUGCAACACAAAAUUACCUGUUGAACAUUAUUUACAACAUUAUUACAUGUAGCCUCGGGCAAACGGUCCUGAGUGAUGUCCGGUUUGAAAACAAAUUAUUCUUUUGAACUGGUUCUUUGUAGUUUAACUGGAUGAACCAGUUCACCAAAUCAGACUAAAUGAUUCUCUAACAGUUUGCGGCUUGAGCUUGAGACUCGAAAUGAGCCAAUAUAGUGCCAGCGUAUUAUGAUUGCAUGAUGAUGGACUUUGCCAUCUCAUUCAGCACUCCAGUUCCUCCAACAUUACACUGAGGGAACAGUUCGGACUCAGACCAAAGAACCGAUGAGCUGCAGAUAUGAGCUAGAGUGAACCAAGCACUUGAAUAAAGUGGUGAAAUGAACGUUUUUAUGGUUCAAGUAAAAAGGUUGCAGCGACCGAUAUCUGUGUGUUUUCCGCUCCAUCCCUCCGGACUGUUUCUCCAUGCCCGUGCCGCAGCUCAGAUGGGGGCAGACUUAAGUGCAGCAGCGGUUGUCUGGCACGUUAACGCGCGCGGCAGGUCUCUCUGGCGGGCCAUCCCGAACACGGGAUGCUGAACGGGAGCCGCGAGGGUUUGUUUGAACUGGGCAGGCAGCUCCAGCAGGAAGGAGACUCACAAGCUGCUCUGCACUGCUUUUUGAGCUGCCUGCUGGGGCUCACACAUGUGCAGAGCUUCCACUCGCUUCCCAACUGCCUGCAUCAGAUCGCUGAACUCUACAUUGAUGACAAGAACUAUGGGAAAGCUCUACAGUUUAUUCAGGCGGAGAAGAUGUUUUACGAAGUGGCAUUGAUCGAGCUCACCUCGCUGCAGGCCAGCACAGGGUCUCAGGAAGACGGACCAUUGGGAACGUCAGGAUGUCUGUCUCAAGAGGAGUUAUCAGAACAGGCUUCACAGGCCCAGGAUCUUGAGAGACUGGCUCAGCUCUGCAUCAUGAGCAAAAGACCUCACCUUGCUUUAGAAUACAGUGGCAAGGCCACUAAAAUCCACCAGAGGGCUUUUGGUAACGAUCACCCUAUCACAGCCCGGAGUCUGGAGCUGCUAGCCACUGUCUAUGCAGAGAUCGGCAAAACAGAAUAUACAAAUUCAUUGGGAGAGUGCGUGUCGACUCUUUCCAAAAGGUUCUCAGCCACCGAGUCAUUCAGUGACGCUCUGAGUAGCAUCUCUCAUAGCCAUAAGGACAGACACUCUGAGCUGCGACACAGAAAAGAGCCAUACAUACAACAGGAAACUCCUAAAACAAAGGUCAUAAAUGAAAAACUGCCCACCUCUAUUCUGAAAAGGUCCAACAUGAGCAAUGUGGAGUCAGACUUAUUGCGCAAGCGAAAAACCGAGAGGCGGGUUCGCUUCAGAGAGCCGGAGAUCACUGUUCAUGACAUUCCAUACUAUGACUGUUUAGGAGUCUAUGACACUCCCCAGAGCCGUUUGCACCUGACCCUGCUCACCUGCCUGUUCCUGCUUCUGUCUGCGCUGGGUCUAGCACUGUACUGCACGGACCGCCGGAGACCCCAGCGUGCCUGCGAAGAGCUGCAGACGGCACUGGCUGUGUACCUGCUUCAGUUCAAACAGAUCGUCUGGGCCUGCUGGAUCUGGCUGACCAUGCAAUGACCAUAACUGACUACACGGGCCAGCAACAGUCAGGAAAAAAAAACAAAAAACAUAAAAGGUCAGGAUGUUUUUUGAAUGACUGUGGAGGAAAUUGAAGAUAAAGAAUGGUCCUCUUGUUUUUUAUUGCUUUAUUUUCACUGUUAUAAUCAGACUGGCCACCAGUCAAAUUUUCUGAGGAUGUUCAACAUCCACCUCUUUUAUUUUGUGGCUGAUUAAAGGCCAUGUGCUUUACACACCAUUAAGGUAUGGUGUGCCUUUUUGCCCUUUAUGGUGGCAUAGCUAAUGCCACAUCCUCAUUAUACUGAGCCGUGUAUAUUUAGAUCUCUGUAUGUAGCUGUUUUUCCUCGUAUAGCGGUUCUGGAUGAUAUGUUUUAAAGGAAUAGUUCACCAAAAAUGAAAAUUUGCUGAACAUUUACUCUUCCUCAGGCCAUCCAAUAUGUAGAUGAGUUUGUUUCUUUAUCGGAACAGAUUUGUAGAAAUUUAGCAUUACAUCACUUGCUCACCAGUGGAUCCUCUGUAGUAAAUGGGUGCCAUCAGAUUAUCAGACCCAAAAUCAGUCUGGCUUUACAGAUUGUGCACACUGUAUUCUCUAUGAACCAAUGUAUCACAUUUUAAUGUCCAAAACUACUUCAUUUAUUCAAUGCUUUUAUUUUUAAUGCACUUGCUGUACAUAAUGUGGUUGAAUGUAUCUGUGGAAUGCAAGACAAUGCUAUUUAUUUAACUAAUAAUCAAAUAGGUUUAGAAUACAAAUAUGCGUUUUAUGCAUUAAUCAAACAUGUAAAUGACACUAAUUAUUGUAUAGAAUAUAUUUCAAUGUAAAUGAGAAAAGAGAACUGGCACAAUUGACGACACCUUUAGCAUUUAUCUACUUUACAAGAAACGAAGGGCAAAGCUGUUCUGUUAAGCACAAACAUUUCCAUCUGCCAUUAAUUCUCUCAGAAAGAGAUAUAAGACUGUUGAAGGAUGAAUUGGCCAUAUAUUGUGUCAUGCACUGCUAGAU
ensembl:lncRNA